rnacentral:rRNA from 1 species
AGUGAACGCUGGCGGUAGGCCUAACACAUGCAAGUCGAACGGCAGCACAGGAGAGCUUGCUCUCUGGGUGGCGAGUGGCGGACGGGUGAGGAAUACAUCGGAAUCUACUCUGUCGUGGGGGAUAACGUAGGGAAACUUACGCUAAUACCGCAGACGACCUACGGGUGAAAGCAGGGGAUCUUCGGACCUUGCGCGAUUGAAUGAGCCGAUGUCGGAUUAGCUAGUUGGCGGGGUAAAGGCCCACCAAGGAGACGAUCCGUAGCUGGUCUGAGAGGAUGAUCAGCCACACUGGAACUGAGACACGGUCCAGACUCCUACGGGAGGCAGCAGUGGGGAAUAUUGGACAAUGGGCGCAAGCCUGAUCCAGCCAUACCGCGUGGGUGAAGAAGGCCUUCGGGUUGUAAAGCCCUUUUGUUGGGAAAGAAAUCCAGCUGGCUAAUACCCGGUUGGGAUGAUGGUACCCAAAGAAUAAGCACCGGCUAACUUCGUGCCAGCAGCCGCAGUAA